AACAUCUCUACUCCUCUACUAUCCCCUCUUUCUCACUGUCUCCAGUCUUCUGUCUUCUCACGAUCUCCAGUCCUCUGUCUUCUCACAGUCUCCAGUCCUCUGUCUUCUCACGGUCUCCAGUCCUCUGUCUUCUCACGGUCUCCAGUCUUCUGUCUUCUCACGGUCUCCAGUCCUCUGUCUUCUCACGGUCUCCAGUCCUCUGUCUUCUCACGGUCUCCAGUCCUCUGUCUUCUCACGGUCUCCAGUCCUCUGUCUUCUCACGGUCUCCAGUCUUCUGUCUUCUCACGGUCUCCAGUCCUCUGUCUUCUCACGGUCUCCAGUCUUCUGUCUUCUCACGGUCUCCAGUCUUCUGUCUUCUCACUGUAACCAGUCCUCUGUCUUCUCACGGUCUCCAGUCUUCUGUCUUCUCACGGUCUCCAGUCCUCUGUCUUCUCACGGUCUCCAGUCUUCUGUCUUCUCACUGUCUCCAGUCCUCUGUCUUCUCACUGUCUCCAGUCUUCUGUCUUCUCACGGUCUCCAGUCCUCUGUCUUCUCACGGUCUCCAGUCCUCUGUCUUCUCACAGUCUCCAGUCCUCUCUCUGUCUCCAGGUGUAUUUAACAUCCUCUCUGUCUCCAGGUGUAUUUAACAUACUCUCUGUCUCCAGGUGUAUAACAUCCUCUCUGUCUCCAGGUGUAUUUAACAUCCUCUCUGUCUCCAGGUGUAUUUAACAUCCUCUCUGUCUCCAGGUGUAUUUAACAUCCUCUCUGUCUCCAGGUGUAUAACAUCCUCUCUGUCUCCAGGUGUAUUUAACAUCCUCUCUGUCUCCAGGUGUAUUUAACGUCCUCUCUGUCUCCAGGUGUAUUUAACAUCCUCUCUGUCUCCAGGUGUAUUUAACAUCCUCUCUGUCUCCAGGUGUAUUUAACAUCCUCUCUGUCUCCAGGUGUAUUUAACAUCCUCUCUGUCUCCAGGUGUAUUUAACAUCCUCUCUCUGUCUCCAGGUGUAUUUAACAUCCUCUCUCUGUCUCCAGGUGUAUUUAACAUCCUCUCUCUGUCUCCAGGUGUAUUUAACAUCCUCUCUCUGUCUCCAGGUGUAUUUAACAUCCUCUCUGUCUCCAGGUGUAUUUAACAUCCUCUCUCUGUCUCCAGGUGUAUUUAACAUCCUCUCUCUGUCUCCAGGUGUAUUUAACAUCCUCUCUGUCUCCAGGUGUAUUUAACAUCCUCUCUGUCUCCAGGUGUAUUUAACAUCCUCUCUGUCUCCAGGUGUAUUUAACAUCCUCUCUGUCUCCAGGUGUAUUUAACAUCCUCUCUGUCUCCAGGUGUAUUUAACAUCCUCUCUGUCUCCAGGUGUAUUUAACAUCCUCUCUCUGUCUCCAGGUGUAUUUAACAUCCUCUCUGUCUCCAGGUGUAUUUAACAUCCUCUCUGUCUCCAGGUGUAUUUAACAUCCUCUCUGUGUU